CCUACGGGGGACAGCAGUGGGGAAUAUUGGACAAUGGGGGCAACCCUGAUCCAGCCAUGCCGCGUGUGUGAAGAAGGCCCUCGGGUUGUAAAGCACUUUCAGUGAGGAAGAACGCCUGGUGGUUAAUACCCAUCAGGAAAGACAUCACUCACAGAAGAAGCACCGGCUAACUCCGUGCCAGCAGCCGCGGUAAUACGGAGGGUGCGAGCGUUAAUCGGAAUUACUGGGCGUAAAGCGCGCGUAGGUGGCUUGAUAAGCCGGUUGUGAAAGCCCCGGGCUCAACCUGGGAACGGCAUCCGGAACUGUCAAGCUAGAGUGCAGGAGAGGAAGGUAGAAUUCCCGGUGUAGCGGUGAAAUGCGUAGAGAUCGGGAGGAAUACCAGUGGCGAAGGCGGCCUUCUGGACUGACACUGACACUGAGGUGCGAAAGCGUGGGUAGCAAACAGGAUUAGAUACCCGUGUAGUC
rnacentral:rRNA from 1 species